GACGAACGCUGGCGGCGUGCCUAAUACAUGCAAGUUGAGCGCUGAAGGUUGGUACUUGUCCCGACUGGAUGAGCAGCGAACGGGUGAGUAACGCGUGGGGAAUCUGCCUUUGAGCGGGGGACAACAUUUGGAAACGAAUGCUAAUACCGCAUAAAAACUUUAAACACAAGUUUUAAGUUUGAAAGAUGCAAUUGCAUCACUCAAAGAUGAUCCCGCGUUGUAUUAGCUAGUUGGUGAGGUAAAGGCUCACCAAGGCGAUGAUACAUAGCCGACCUGAGAGGGUGAUCGGCCACAUUGGGACUGAGACACAGCCCAAACUCCUACGGGAGGCAGCAGUAGGGAAUCUUCGGCAAUGGACGAAAGUCUGACCGAGCAACGCCGCGUGAGUGAAGAAGGUUUUCGGAUCGUAAAACUCUGUUGGUAGAGAAGAACGUUGGUGAGAGUGGAAAGCUCAUCAAGUGACGGUAACUACCCAGAAAGGGACGGCUAACUACGUG
rnacentral:rRNA from 1 species